CCUACGGGGGGCAGCAGUAGGGAAUAUUGCUCAAUGGGGGAAACCCUGAAGCAGCAACGCCGCGUGGAGGAUGAAGGUUUUAGGAUUGUAAACUCCUUUUGUUAGAGAAGAGGAUGACGGUAGCUAACGAAUAAGCACCGGCUAACUCCGUGCCAGCAGCCGCGGUAAUACGGAGGGUGCAAGCGUUACUCGGAAUCACUGGGCGUAAAGAGUGCGUAGGCGGGGUAAUACGUCCGAUGUGAAAUCCUGUAGCUUAACUACAGACCUGCAUGUGAAACUGUUACUCUGGAGUGUGGGAGCGGUAGGUGGCCUUCUUGGUGUAGUGGUACACUCCGU
rnacentral:rRNA from 1 species